GGGGUUGUGGCUCAGCGGUAGAGCGCUCACCUCGCAUGUGUGAGAGCCUAGGUUCAAUCCUCAGCACCA
rfam:Ictidomys tridecemlineatus contig085985, whole genome shotgun sequence.